rnacentral:rRNA from 1 species
AUUGAACGCUGGCGGCAGGCCUAAUACAUGCAAGUCGAACGAGUGGCGGACGGGUGAGCAAUUUCUGGGAAACUGCCUGACGGAGGGGGAUAACUACUGGAAACGGUAGCUAAUACCGCAUAACAUCCGAUGUGCCCAGAUGGGAUUAGCUAGUUGGGGGGGUAACGGCUCACCUAGGCGACGAUCCCUAGCUGGUCUGAGAGGAUGACCAGCCACACUGGAACUGAGACACGGUCCAGACUCCUACGGGAGGCAGCAGUGGGGAAUAUUGCACAAUGGACGAAAGCCUGAUGGAGCCAUGCCGCGUGUAUGAAGAAGGCCUUCGGGUUGUAAAGUACUUUCAGCGGGGAGGCGUUACCCGCAGAAGAAGCACCGGCUAACUCCGUGCCAGCAGCCGCGGUAAUUC